rnacentral:lncRNA from 1 species
AUGUUGGAAAGAUGGAGUAACCCAGAAGUCCUGACAAAUUAUUUUUGGAAAUCCAUUUCCUCAGCAGACUACUGGGAAUUUAUAAUACCAAUUUAUAAACAUAAAUGGGCAGUCAUCAAAAAAGGAAGAGGAAGGAAGUAAAGUGCCAUUGCUAAGCAACUUCCAGAAAUUUAUCCUGAGGAAUUAAACAGAUGAAAGGAUGAUCUCCGAAUCUCUGAAAUGGGAAGGCAAUUCAGCCAAGAACCUGGACGGGUCCUGGGAUGAGUUCUCCUCCCGCACAACUUCUCUGAUGCACCAGAAACUGUACAAGAUUCUUGGAUACAUGAAAACUAAGACACAAUCCUACUGCUCCUUUAAUAAGUAGGAUGAUCAAUUUGUCCCUAUUUGCCUGAAACAAUCCUAAUUUUAGCAAUGAAAGCUCUACUUCCUGGGAUCCUUCACAGGUUUGGGCAAAUGGAGUGGUUGGUCACCUGCUUUUGAGGAGUUUUUGGUCUAGACCAGAGUCGUGCAUGUAAAUAUGCAAUUAGAUAGCACCAAAGUGUUUAAUGGUGAAAUACUAGAAGUACAGUAGAAGCAAAACACAAAACCUUUCACAUUUAUCCAUCAAGUCCAUAUUAGUGCAAGUCUCUUAAAAUCAUGCCCUUUCUAGCCUCAACAACGUCUCCAAGCUCACCUUUUAAUCUCCCGCACUAACAUUAACUCAUUACUCUAUUUUCUUUAACAUUUUGGGCUGCAUUUCCUUAACUCUAACAGGUCAUAUCCCCUAUUAUUUUUUCUAAUAAAUUUCUGGGCCAGCGCACUUUAGCAGAGGCCUGGAAUAAAGUAGCACUUAAGAGACAGUUUGUUGAAUGAAUGACUCAGCAUUUUGACUGUUUAUCUACAACAUAGAUAAAGUACGUUGGACAAAUCCAUCUUUGUUCAACAUAAUACAGGAGGGUAAUUUUUAUGAGUGUUUCCUGAUUGUGAAGUAUGUGUCAAGCACUUAAGUUUCCUCACUUAAUCUCCUUAACCACUGUGAAAGAGAAUGAAUAUUAUGAUUAUCAUCAUUUUAUAAAAAUGCAAAGCAGGCACAGAGAAGUUAAGUAACCAGAUCACUGGUGUAACACAAAAAAAUUCAGCUCCAGGUCUGUUUUACAACAGAUCUUCUGACUGCACCAUGCUGUCUCUGGCCCUCAAUACACUGAAAACCUUAGUAGCAAAAGGAUAUCAUGAUAGGCAAUAAGCAGUUUCCAAAAAGCAAGCAUUAGCCAACAAAGACCUUCAACUAGGAGAAAAAGGGUACCCCAAGAGUUGGAUGGACAUAGCUAUUUGGAAUCUAGUACUAGGAAUUUAUGACAUUAAGCCAAUAAUCCACAACACUUUCACUGGCUAUAGCUAUUACAAUUCAUUUACAAAUCUGUGGACACAAAACUGAGUAUGAAAAGAUUUCUUUUGGAGACCUAGCCUGGAAUUCAGUAGCGCUGCCAAGGAAUGAGUAGAAAGAACCCCCUUUUAGAAUUCCCUUAACUGUGCUCAAGACAGCCCCCCAAAAUAUGCAAUUUAAGAAGAAUGACUACAAUGCAAGCAAGGCUUCAAGGCAAAUUGUUUUCCUCUCAGAUCCAAACAGCUUCCCAAGCACCACCUUACAUACAAAGAAAUUCUAAGACUGUCACUGCUUAAGACUGAGAUCAGAGUAUCAAUCACCAGGAGAGAAAGGGUCAGAUACACAGCCACCAAAAAGAUGUUCAGAUUCAGGCAAAUGGGAGAACCAGAAAGCAAUGCAGUCACUAGCAUGAAGGACGACAAAGACU